rnacentral:piRNA from 1 species
UACCUUGUGAAGACAGAAGCACAAACUCGA